AGCCAUUUUCUAAUUGAAAAAUGUUUACCCAAUUCAAGUGAAUCUUUCUCAACCAAUUGCACCCCAUCAAGAGGGGGCCUGAACACAAUACGACAAUCAGUGGUAACUGAACCACCAGAACUGAAGCUGUACUCUCAGUCUGAAAUGCUAAAUGUGCAGCUUGUGAAAGAAAAUUCAGCUUGUAAGUUCCUGUUUUAACCAAAUCAUUUGAAGGGGACAUUCAGCUCAUUCAUCAUCCAUAAGGAAAGAGUUUAGUAUUUUCAAUGAAAUAGGAAUAUUGAUUUUUCUUUGCUUGCAAGUGUAAAAGCUGUCCAAAGUCAAGAAUUACAUUGUUGGAACACAGAAGUGAAUUUUUACAGCUUGGACUAAAAGCCUUCUUGACAGCAUUCGUUCAGAGGUUUCAAACCCAAAAACUUGCUUUAACAGGAUGGUUGUGUGACAGUGAUCACCAAGUCGGACCAUCAGCUUCAGACUGAACUCCAGAGAAAUUUAUUCCUGGUGGACAACUAUUCAUACUGUAUCAGCUAAAAGCAUUAAAUCAAAUGUUAACCUUGAUAUCAAAUGAGAACUGUUUCCCCAGCCCUAUGAACACAUAUAUAAUAUAUAUAUAAUCUAAAUUUAUAGCACAGAAGGAGGGCUUUUGGCCCAUCGUUUGCAUGAUAAUUGAAAUGUGAAAAUCUGCUGACUUUACAGUUUUGUGAACUGUUGCCCUGUUUCCAGUUAAGACAUGUCCUUUAUGUACAAUUUCAGGAAAACUGUGACAUAAAGGAAUAGCCUCCUUGGCUUAUUCUUCAGUUCAGAAAAGUAUGUAAUUUAAAAAAAAGCUUUUCCUCUUCUCAUAACGUUCAAAUGAUUUAAUCAUGAUUUAAUCAAAAAACACAGUGGAAGUCUUCCUUCUAUAGGACCAUUAUUUACAGACAUUUGGUCUUUGGUAAGAUAUAUUUGGGUGGAAAUGUUUUUGAUGGCAGUAACAUAAUAGAACUAUCAAAAGGUAUUAGUUUGCAAUUCACAAUGAAUAAUCGGUGCGGAGAUUUGUGCUCAGAUUUUAUAACAGGAGAUAUCGUGAUUUAAGAAAUGUACUAAGACCUGAACAAAGUUGGCAGAAUGCCAAUGUAGAAAAUACAUCAUUUGAG